rnacentral:rRNA from 1 species
CGAGCGCAGGAAUAACGGACCCCUUCGGGGUGAUGUUUAUGGAAUGAGCGGCGGACGGGUGAGUAACACGUGGGCAACCUGCCUGUAAGAUCGGGAUAACUCGCGGAAACGUGAGCUAAUACCGGAUAACACUUUUCAUCUCAUGGUGAGAAGAUAAAAGACGGUUUCGGCUGUCACUUACAGAUGGGCCCGCGGCGCAUUAGCUAGUUGGUGAGGUAACGGCUCACCAAGGCGACGAUGCGUAGCCGACCUGAGAGGGUGAUCGGCCACACUGGGACUGAGACACGGCCCAGACUCCUACGGGAGGCAGCAGUAGGGAAUCUUCCGCAAUGGACGAAAGUCUGACGGAGCAACGCCGCGUGAGUGAUGAAGGUUUUCGGAUCGUAAAACUCUGUUGUUAGGGAAGAACAAGUUGGGUAGUAACUGACCCAACCUUGACGGUACCUAACCAGAAAGCCACGGCUAACUACGUGCCAGCAGCCGCGGUAAUACGUAGGUGGCAAGCGUUGUCCGGAAUUAUUGGGCGUAAAGCGCUCGCAGGCGGUCUUUUAAGUCUGAUGUGAAAGCCCACGGCUUAACCGUGGAGGGUCAUUGGAAACUGGAGGACUUGAGUACAGAAGAGGAGAGUGGAAUUCCACGUGUAGCGGUGAAAUGCGUAGAGAUGUGGAGGAACACCAGUGGCGAAGGCGACUCUCUGGUCUGUAACUGACGCUGAGGAGCGAAAGCGUGGGUAGCGAACAGGAUUAGAUACCCUGGUAGUCCACGCC